rnacentral:rRNA from 1 species
UGGGACCUACGGGAGGCAGCAGUAGGGAAUUUUCGUCAAUGGGCGCAAGCCUGAACGAGCAAUGCCGCGUGAGUGAGGAAGGUCUUCGGAUCGUAAAGCUCUGUUGCGGGGGAAAAAGGAAGCGGAAAGGAAAUGGUAUGCUUUUGAUGGUACCCCGCCAGAAAGUCACGGCUAACUACGUGCCAGCAGCCGCGGUAAUACGUAGGUGGCGAGCGUUAUCCGGAAUGAUUGGGCGUAAAGGUG